CGACCUCUGCCUGCGCCGGGCUGAUGAAAUGGGUCAUGGCAUCCACGCCACCUGCGGUCAGGAUGUGCCCUUCGCCGGCGAUGAUGUCAGUUCCCGGGCCGAUAAUGACAUCGGCACCAGUUUGGAUAUUGGGAUUACCGGCCUUGCCAAUGGCCGCGAUACGCCCGUCCUUCAGGCCAAUAUCGGCCUUGAUCACGCCCCAGAAGUCGAUCACCAAGGCAUUGGUGAUGACGGUGUCCAUGACCAAGUCCGCCUGACGCUGGCACUGGCCCAUGCCAUCG
rnacentral:sRNA from 1 species